CUGAAGGAUGCCUACUAGAAAGCAGGUGCUGGUGAGGCACUUUACUAAAAGGUGCACAUUCCUUUGUCCAAAUAUAUGCUGCGAAUGUGGAUUAGCUGACCAAAUAGACUUUAUUGUAGCUAAUCUUCUAAGAAGCCUAAAUCAAUUCAUGUAACUUACCAACUCGGAAGCAAGCAUAUGCUCAGUGGCUGCCCUACAAUUGUGCAACUUCCUCCCACUACAAACCCAUGAACGGCCAAGUCCAAGCAGCUUUUGGAAAUACUGUUUAAGAACUAUUUGCUUGGAGUCACAACUGGGGCUCACGGUUAAAUUGGAAAAUUCCAAUGAAUGUGAUUAAUGCCUCAAGCUUACAGGUGGUGUUGGGCUAAAAAUCUAAAUAAAUCAUUAUGUUCUUGUU